UGGCGGACGGGUGAGUAACGCGUGGGUAACCUGCCCUGUACAGGGGGACAACAGUUAGAAAUGACUGCUAAUACCGCAUAAGCGCACAGGACCGCAUGGUCCGGUGUGAAAAACUCCGGUGGUACAGGAUGGACCCGCGUCUGAUUAGGUAGUUGGCGGGGUAACGGCCCACCAAGCCGACGAUCAGUAGCCGACCUGAGAGGGUGACCGACCACAUUGGGACUGAGACACGGCCCAAACUCCUACGGAAGGCAGCAG
rnacentral:rRNA from 1 species